UCAUUUCACGCCCGGCGGAGCGCGGAAACGGAUAUACCGAUAACUCCUAACUUGAUGGAUAUCCGCGCUUCAGGAAUCGAAGGCAUCAAGUUUUCCCAUAGCUAUUAGUAUAGUUAUUCAUGGUUUCCUCUCAAGGAAAAGUCAAUGCACUGGCUACACAUCGAGAAGCGUGGAAACGCGUGAUAUUAUUUUGAUUUAAAGGAAAUCAACAGGUGAUCACCGACAGACGGGUAGCGAGUGUCGAAAUCUAGAGGCUCGCCUCUCUACCUGUUUCGGGAUCAUUUUCGAUGUUAUCCCGCAACAUAUGCCCGACAAGGGGCAGAUGGUAAAAAAGCGUUGAGCCAAAGCAGCAGCGUGUGACACGGGACAGUUUAAAGGGCCGUGGUGCUGCUCAUCGGGCCAACCACCAAUCACUGCUUCUUUUUUGAUACAAUGAUGAUGCACACGAACACACAGGGGCACAUUACUCUCUAAUUAUCCGUCGAUUAUCUUUUAAUAGAAACUCGCACUUUGGCAAAAUUUCGGAGGGCUUCUGUUAAAUCGUUCGCCGGAAGUAAAGACCAUUAAUAAAUAAAUAAUUACAGAGAACGAAAAAGCAUGUCUUCACUACAAUAUCAUCAUUACUAAUACACAAAACAAAUACAUCAUCAAUUAUAAAAAAUUAAAAAUUAUAAAAA